AAGAACAGGCGCCGGCCUCGGCGUCCGCCGCGCAGUUAGGAAACUGACUGUCGCUCUCUCCGGCCUCGGCGCUGCUUCGGACGCCCCGGCACCGGCCCCCGUUGCUUUGUAGCAUUCUGCAGCUGGGCUGCAGGCGCCGUGGGCCUCCGCCAGUUGUGUUCGAGACGCGGUUCGGCCACAGAAGUUUUAGCUUGUGACUUUUGGCAAGUCAGUGGCCCUCUCUGGGCCUCAGGUGCCUUUUUUGCUGUGAGACCAGCGACUGUAUUUUUAACCCUGAUUUUAUCCCUAGAUCUACCCAACACAUAGUAGGUGCUCAAAAGAUAUUUAUGAGUGAAUGAAUGCAUCAUGAGAAGAAAUUGGACCAGAUGAGGCCCUGUGAAGCUGCUUGGGUCUUUUUUUGUUCUUUUUUUUUUCUCUCUUCUGAGUGUCCCUGGCCUGGACUAGAAAUUCUCCAUCCUUCGGCCUUCUGCGAGACUGCAGGAACAUUACUUUUGAAGGAUGCUAAGGAAUCCGAGGGAUGAAAAAAAUCAAGAGAUUGCAAUGAUGUCACAAAACAAGGAAACAAGUGCAGCAUCUUCACUCCGAAGCAGAAAUUUGCCAAAAAAGCAUCCUCUUUUUAUCAGAAAAUAAAAUAUCCUGGUUUCUUA
rnacentral:lncRNA from 1 species